CCUACGGGAGGCAGCAGUGAGGAAUAUUGGUCAAUGGCCGUAAGGCUGAACCAGCCAAGUCGCGUGAAGGAAGAAGGAUCUAUGGUUUGUAAACUUCUUUUAUAGGGGAAUAAAGGUAUCCACGUGUGAUAUUUGCAUGUACCCUAUGAAUAAGCAUCGGCUAACUCCGUGCCAGCAGCCGCGGUAAUACGGAGGAUGCGAUCGUUAUCCGGGAUUAUUGGGUUUAAAGGGUGCGUAGGUUGUUUUUUAAGUCAGCGGUGAAAGUUUGUGGCUCAACCAUAAAAUUGCCGUUGAAACUGGAAGACUGGAGUGUGUUUGAGGUAGGCGGAAUGCGUGGUGUAGCGGUGAAAUGCAUAGAUAUCACGCAGAACUCCGAUUGCGAAGGCAGCUUACUAAGCCAUAACUGACACUGAAGCACGAAAGCGUGGGGAUCAAACAGGAUUAGAUACCCCAGUAGUC
rnacentral:rRNA from 1 species